rnacentral:rRNA from 1 species
AAGGCCCCUUCGGGGGUACACGAGUGGCGAACGGGUGAGUAACACGUGGGUAACCUGCCCUUCACUGGGGGACAACCGAGGGAAACUUCGGCUAAUACCGCAUGAUGUGCGCUGUCAUGAGAUGGCGUACCAAAACUCCGGUGGUGAAGGAUGGGCCCGCGGCGGAUUAGCUUGUUGGUGGGGUAAUGGCCUACCAAGGCAACGAUCCGUAGCUGGUCUGAGAGGACGAUCAGCCACACUGGGACUGAGACACGGCCCAGACUCCUACGGGAGGCAGCAGUGGGGAAUCUUGCGCAAUGGGCGAAAGCCUGACGCAGCAAUGCCGCGUGAGGGAAGAAGGUCUUAGGA